UACGAAGGGGGCUAGCGUUGCUCGGAAUCACUGGGCGUAAAGGGCGCGUAGGCGGCGUUUUUAAGUCGGGGGUGAAAGCCUGUGGCUCAACCACAGAAUGGCCUUCGAUACUGGGACGCUUGAGUCUGGUAGAGGUUGGUGGAACUGCGAGUGUAGAGGUGAAAUUCGUAGAUAUUCGCAAGAACACCGGUGGCGAAGGCGGCCAACUGGACCAGCACUGACGCUGAGGCGCGAAAGCGUGGGGAGCAAACAGG
rnacentral:rRNA from 1 species